AUGGGAGGCCACCAAGCUCCCCAUCAGGCGCACUGCCUAGGACAACGAGAUCAGGUGACGCAACAGCAAACUUACCAGACUUACGCCGCCGCCGAGAGAUCCGAAUCCAGCCAUCGACCGACAAAGACGUGGCCACCGACCGGCCCCGACCACCAGGAGCGAACUUGCGGGGACGAGGAGCGGCGGAAGGCACCCCCCCAGCACAAGGCACGGGACCACAGGGGGAAGGGACCGACGACCGCGAAUCCUCCUCAUCAGACGCAAGGGCCCAGAAACGAGAUCCGAGCACCGGCAGCGGAGAAGACAGAGGGGAGAACCCCACCCGCGGGGAGCCAGGGGAGGGGAGAGAGAGAGCACCUGCAAGCGGAGAGGGGGAUGACCGGGCACCGGCCAGCGGGUCAGGGCGGGGAGCGGGACGGCUAG
rnacentral:rRNA from 1 species